GACGAACGCUGGCGGCGUGCUUAACACAUGCAAGUCGAACGGUGAAGCGCCUUCCUUUUUGGUGGGUGUGGAUGAGUGGCGAACGGGUGAGUAACACGUGAGUAACCUGCCCCCUUCUUCUGGAUAACCGCAUGAAAGUGUGGCUAAUACGGGAUAUUCUGGGUCUGUCGCAUGAAGGGUCUGGGAAAGAUAUUGUUUCGGUGGGGGAUGGGCUCGCGGCCUAUCAGCUUGUUGGUGGGGUGAUGGCCUACCAAGGCGGUGACGGGUAGCCGGCCUGAGAGGGUGGACGGUCACACUGGGACGGAGACACGGCCCAGACUCCUACGGGAGGCAGCAGGGAGGAUUAUUGCACAGUGGGCGCAAGGCUGAUGCAGCGACGCCGCGUGAGGGAUGGUGGCCUUCGGGUUGUGAACCUCUUUCGCCAGUGAAGCAGGCCUGCCUCGUUUGUGGGUGGGUUGACGGUAGCUGGAUAAGAAGCGCCGGCUAACUACGUG
rnacentral:rRNA from 1 species